rnacentral:rRNA from 1 species
GUAGGUGGCAAGCGUUGUCCGGAAUUAUUGGGCGUAAAGCGCGCGCAGGCGGUUCUUUAAGUCUGACGUGAAAGCCCACGGGCUCAACCGUGGAGGGUCAUUGGAAACUGGAGAACUUGAGUACAGAAGAGGAAAGCGGAAUUCCACGUGUAGCGGUGAAAUGCGUAGAGAUGUGGAGGAACACCAGUGGCGAAGGCGGCUUUCUGGUCUGUAACUGACGCUGAGGCGCGAAAGCGUGGGGAGCAAACAGGAUCAGAUACCCUGGUAGUCCACGCCGUAAACGAUGAGUGCUAAGUGUUAGGGGGUUUCCGCCCCUUAGUGCUGCAGCUAACGCAUUAAGCACUCCGCCUGGGGAGUACGGCCGCAAAGGCUG